CACCCUCCCAUUUUUCCCACAACAAAUAAACUUUUACUGACUUUCAGAGCUAUACUUGGGGAAUUGCUUUCCUAUUUCCCUGCAUGAGAAGCAUAUGUUAUUACAUGAGAUGAUGGAACACCUUGGAUUAUAAACUCUUACUUGAUAAACAAUUUCUACAACAAACCAUCUUUUGAGAUAAGUUGGACUGAGUGAGAAUGACUGACCCAAGGUCACCCAAUCUGUUUUUCAUUGCUAAGGAGGGACUAGAACUCACAGUCUCCUGUUUUUAGGUCAGCCCUUAACCACUACAGUAAAUGUUAGGAAAAAAGAAAAAAGAAACCUGCUGAAUUAAUUAAACACUUUGAUCCACAAAUGCUUACAUUUUCACAUUGCUAAAAAGAAUAAAACCAUUUUUAAAAAGUGUAGGGGUGGCGCUUAGUGUCCAUGUAAAGUUUUAUUGUAAACUGCCCAGAGUCUGACAGACUGACAGAAAAUUGAAACAAGAAACGUGGGUAUUUUUUCUUUUAAUUAAAGAAGGUCAUCGUAAAAAUGUGGCUCACACAGCAAUUUGAAUUUAUUUAUUUGUUUUCUUUUUAUUAACAUUUCUUCCUUUUUCUUUUCUUUUUUUUUUAAUGUUGCACUUUUCAACUGGGAAGGCUUUGAAAGCUAUAGGGUUUGUGUCCUCAGAUUUAGGUUAUUAAAAUGUUCAAUACAAAAGAAAAAGGGGGUGGAACUGAAACAAGAAAAUCCAGUUUCAAGUUUAAUUGUUUAUAUAAUUGUUCAUCCUGGCAAGUAUUAAUAGAAUUGAGAUCUGCAUGUCACGCUACUAAAAUACCUGAUUCUCAAGCUUGACCUCAAAUAGGAAUAACAAUUCUUUGUUUAUUUACAUUUAAGGUAUAAUGUGUUCAGUAGAUCUACUUCUAGCUCAGCUGCUGCUCCAGAUGACGUUCUCAAGCUUAGAUGCGACAUCUUCCCUGGAGUGGCAAAAUGGAUGGCUUCCCCUUAUUUGUCCUGCGUUGGUUCCUCAGAUUCAUUCCCCUCUCUCUGGACAUCAAGGCACCUUUGUACUUGAAGGACAUUUCUCUAUCUUUCCAGACAGUCCAGUGGAUGGCUGCUGCUUCUUCAUCCAGUGACUUUCCUAUUUGCCCAUUUCACUCACUGCAAAAUAAGCAGAAAAGGGCUCCACUAAUUGUAGGGACAAUGGAGACUUAAGUUUGGUACUCCCUAUUGGGCAGCUGGGAAAAGCACUGGCCAAUUCUUGAGGAUCCAUAGCAACCAGAAAAGACAACCCUUGAAUGAGUUCCUCUGUGAAGGCAGGGUAAUGAAAAUGGUGGCUCUACACAAAUGACCUGGAUCGGGAGCCAAUUUAUAAAAUCUUCCAAAUGGAAAUAGGCUGUGUAUAUGUUCUUAAAGUAUAGAAGGGCUGCCUCUCUGAUCCAUUUGCUUUUCCUUGAAGUAAUAUUAUUUUAGGAUUUGUUUGCAUAUAUUCCUCCAACGUUGAUUUGCUGUUGUCAAAUUAAUGUUUGCAAUAAAUAGUAAAAAUGAAA